AACAGCAAUUCAAGAUGCAGCGAGCCGUGGGGCUUCGAGGUUCGCCCAGCUGCUGCUGUUUCUGCUUCUCCUCCAAACCUUCAUCCCUCUCCCUGCCAUUAAAAUAUCUAUUCUCACUUCAAGACUUGAAUCAUCAGCUGAGGGAUUGGCGAGGUUGGUGGUGCAAUUACUGGGGUUGCUUGGCCAGCUGCAGUUAUCGCCUUGGCCGUUGGUUGUUCGAAACCAUCACUUGGGACUCCUACAUUCCUUGCCUGCAGCACGAAAAACGCAACUUUUUACUGCCUCAUACUAUUACGCAUAGGCCUCCUUGGUUGGUUGCAAAUGUGGGUAAGCCACAGUUCAUGGCCUCAAUCACUGUUAGACCAAAAGCUUCAUACAGUGCUGGCU